UGAUCCACAAAAUAUCCACUAAAACACCAAGGAUCGUUACAAGAAGUAUCCAUGGUGGUAACAGCUAUAUAGACGAUAACCGUCACUGUUGCCUACUUCCAUGGUAGAUUCACGGAUACUGUCUCGAUAUUCGCUGAUACCCACGUCUCUGUAGUGUACACCACCGCUGGUGGUUAUCGUGUGGGAGCAUCGAAGUGGGUAGCUUGCUUGCUCAUGGACGUACGCGACGAAAUCCCGCGAAUGCUGCCAGCGCAAAUCGUAAGCGCUACAUGCCCGGCCGGCUGGCGGGCGUGGUGUAGAGAAUGAGGACAUUGUCGGCGGACGUCACUUGCGAUGGACAAUGCAAAGGAUAUUUUUUUAUAUCUGAUGGCUGUCUUGACUGCUGGGAUGAUGUAACUGAACAGGUACCGGUACUUAUGUCCGAAGUUAUGACGCAGAAUUUUCAUGGAAUCUGGAGGAUUUGUCUUCUUUGACCUUGUGAGAUCCAGAGGAUUGCAUCUGACUUUCCUUCUAUCAAAAUAGUAUGCUGUCAGUGUUCAUGUUCCCAAGGUCUUAUGAAGGGAUUUAUCAUUAUUGUUUGUCACUGUUUCGUCUUGAUAAUUAAUGAUAAUUGAAUUAUGAAAAAAAUCAGAAGAAAAAGAAAAGAUGUGGAUUUUGUAUAAAGGGAGUAGAUUUGUAAGAUAUGCUCUUUUCACAGACAACCUAAAAAAAAACUCAAUAAGAAUAUUGAACAUGAAGAUAUUCAAUGAAGUUCUCUUAUUCAAACACUUAUCUUCAAAAUUUUGUUUUUGGUGUGUAGGGCCUACAUGUGGGGAUCCAUGAUUAAAAAAUUUGACCAGGAAAAAAAAGCUUUCACCACAAAAUUAAGGACAUUCCAUCCACAAAAAAAAAUUUGACAAG